ACCCAUUCUCAGGUGAAGCUUGGCGUAGUCCUGCUCCUCAGGAAAAGGAUGGACCUCCUCUUCUCAGAUGGCCUCCCAACCCUAAUCCCUGCAUGAGAGCUCCUGCAGUGUUUCUCCAGUGCAGCCAACCCAGGCUCUGAGCAUCCUCCAGCCCAGCUCCAUCUAUGCAUCUCCUCUCUGGACUCGGUGAUUGGACUCUUUCUAUUGGCAGUAGGGUCUACUCCCAUCUCCACCUUCUUCCAGCAAGCCCUGCUAGCCAGAGGAGGAGAAAGCUUCCACGCCUCCUGCUUUCUUCCAGGGAAAGGUGCCUUGUUGUGGUGAAUGGACUCACAUUGGGCAGGGCAGAAAGUGUAACCCCUGUCUCUGUCAUUCACCGAGGGCGAAGUGUGGUGUGUGCAUUAUAGCCCAUAGUUUAGGAGGUUGGUGUGGCCAGAACUUCUGAGGAGAGGUGUUCCAUGAUGCAGGGAGGGGGUUUGCAGAGAAGUGAUCUGUUUUAAAGGUCGGGUUACAGAAAGGACAAGGACAUGGGUCUUCUUCAUUUUCAAGUGUUUUGGUUUUGUUCUCAUCCCCUUCCCCCAUCCCAAGAGAUGAGCAGUGCAUACACACUAAGUACUGAUCCGCUAACUAAACGGUAAAGGGCACGAAGCAACGGAGGGUCAUUUCAGAGCCAGUCAGCUCUUGUGCAGCUAAGGGCCAGGGCUGUCCGAGCUCUGGGACCUCCUGCCCCUUCCCCAGGGUGCUAGGCUGAACUGUGUCCCUUCCCGAUCCCACAAGAGAAGAGCCACUUUGUUGAGGGCAUUGUCUAUUCUCAAGUCACAAACCCUACAGACUUCCUAUAAGACAUGGAAAGAUAGGGCCUUAGCCACAGCCUCCUGAUGGCUUCAGUUUUUUCUGAUUAACCCUGAAGUGGCCAGCAGCCUGAGUCCUUCAGCCCUUGGGGAAAGCUCCAGGGAGACUUAAGAAGGGAACCGAAGCCCUGGCUUCAUGGGAGUGUCUGGCUCUUCAGGGCCAGUAAGGUCUUGGCAGCCUGCUCAUAGCGAGACUCUCACACCCAUCAGACGGCAGGCUCUUCCUGUUUUCUCUGCCACCCACCCAUACCUUACUGAGACUGCAGGGUUUAAGGCCACAGCGUAGAAAAGGGAGCUUCAGGAGGAAUACAGAGUCCUGUAAGCCAAGCACAAAGACAUAGGGAGGCAUGCCGCCCGCCAUCUAGGAGGUGGGUCUUCCCUGGCGGCCAGCAAUACAUCGUUUCUCAGUCUUCCAAGGUGUAGGGAAACAGCACAGGAAGUGGGUGUUCCAACGGAGGCCGCUCUGUUGGCCAGGAAGUGUCUCUUCUCCACUAGCAGUGUGGGGCGCCUGAACUCCACACCCAGAGAAGUUGGUUUCUGACAGUCCUUGACCUGGGCACAAGCUGCUCAGAUCUUACAUCACGGUAGGGAGACCAGGCUGUUCUCUGAGUUGGGUAGGGGAAGCUAGUGAAAAACUUCCAGAUACACCAUGGGGUUAAAUUAUCGUAGGGGCUGUCCUUUUUUUUUUUAUUAUUAUUAUUAUUUUUAUUUUUAUUCUCCGCCCACCCCACUCCACUCCCACCCCCUAAGACAGGGUUUCUCUGUGCAUUCCUGGCUGUCCUGGAACUUAUUUUCUAGACCAGGCUGGCCUCAAACUCAGAGAUCCCCUGUCUCUGCCUCCCAGGUGCUGGGACUAAAGGUGUGCGCCACCACGCUUGGCUCAUAGGGACCUUUCUAAUCUAGUGGACCAUAGGCUAAGGAUCUGUGUGUAAUGCCAGGUCAGACCCAAAUCUUCUAGGACUGGAGAAAGUGGACCUAACUUAGUUCAUUUAUUUAUUGAGUGUUGCCCAUUGCCAGCUCUUGGACCACUUGGACUUUUGGGACAGGCAGUGGUUAGAUCUUACCGGACUUUUAAUUGUUCACUAUUUAUCUUCUUCUCAAAUCUGUUAGCAGUUACGCUCCCAGCAUCCUAACUUGAACAAAGGGAAGAGAGGGAAAAAAAGCUGACACUUGGAGAGUUCCAGGGUAGAUUCUAAUGGUUGAACUGUGAAGUCUUCCCAUUUGUUGUUGAAAUGGGAGCUGAUGCCUUUUGUACAAUGUUAUCAAAGUGUGAAAAUUUUCCCUUACUGAAGCAUAGACCAUCAGAUAUAUGCGUGCGUAUUUAUGUAUGUGUAUAUAUAUAUAUAUGUAUAUACACACACACAUAUAGAUUUGUAUACACACACAUACAUCUACUCACAAAGCCAAACCCGGGCUUUUUGCUUGGGCUGAUGGUACCUUCCUCGACUUGACCUGCCACCCUUUCUAAUCCCCAGAAUCAGACUGUGCCGCGUGGGUAUUGAUGAUAUAUUUUCGUUGUCUUUGCCUGGUGGAACCACCACCAAAAAAAGGCUUGAAUUUAGAUCUACAUGAGUGAGUUUGCUCCUCCAGUUAACGGAUUGUGUUGAUGACACAACCCCUAACUUAAAUGUCUUUGCCUUAUUCAUCAUUUGGUCCUGCUGUUAAUAACAAAUUUAUUAUCAUGUAUAUUUGCUAUUGAAGAUGGGAGUGUGAUCCUCAAAAUUGUUGGUCUGUUUUAUAUAUUGUACACAGCUUGUAAUGCAGGUUUAAGGUAGCCGGGCUGUGAAAACCCUGACACUGUUCCCCUUUAAACUGUCCUUGAUGUCCUCAUGGGAAUGUCGUCUCUUCAGUGGAAGAUUGGGUGGUCUCAUGUUGAGGCUAUUACUUAGUCCCUUUAAUCCCCUUGUCCCCUCCCAAAGGGGAGAGACAUUGCCCAGCUAAGCAGCCAGAAGCUCUGUCACAGCUUUCGUGGUAUUUUUCCCUAGUGGGAAACGCUGGAUGGCUGUUUCUUACUGCCCUGCCCUGUCAGGCGGUGGUUCUGAUUUUCAAAUGAGCUAGAUGCUCCUCUUUCCCUUUCUCCAGUCACCAAACCUGGACCAAAGUACUUCAUAUUCCAGGUGUGGGUUCCUCUCUCCUGGGAUUUGCUGCAGCUGCAGAGCCCUGCCCUUUUCGCAGCCUUGGCCACUUGUGUGAGCCACUAGGGCCAUCCCAGCCUGAUGGACGGGAGGCGGUCCUCACCAGGAAUUCAAUUCAUUCCCUGCCCCCUUUCCUAGCCUAGGCAGAGAAACUAGUCACUGGCCAUUGCCCUGGGGGAAUCCCCUCACGCAGUGGCUUCCCAUCUUAGAACCCGGACUUACCUCCAGGCGGAGGUGAGGGGUGGGGAGUACUGUAAAUAGACUUGCUGCAGAGCAACUCAGGGUUGGGGUAUGUUUGAGUUCUCCUGAUCACUUGAAAACUAAUCUGUAGGCUGAAUGCUUCUGGAGUGUGGGGGAAAUGUGACUCCGGGGUCCUUUGUCCUCUGAGGCUCUGCGGGUGGAGGGUAGGACUUCAGAGGCCCUUUGAUAGCACGGCUGCGCUGUCUGCCCUUCUGGAAACCCAACCUGCCAUCAGCUGUAAAUCAGAUUCUUCACAUUCCAGGUGUAAGCUUUCCCUUCCCUGUGACUCUCAGUCCCUAGCUACAUGGUCAGGGGGACUCUGUUAAACCACCCAAAUUUAGGGAAUGAGAGGGGAGAGAGGAGGCCAUUAGGAGUCUGCCUUCAAGACUCAUUUCUUGAAAACAAAAUGGAAAAAAAAAAAGAUAACCACCUUCAAUCACAGGCAAAAACUAAACC
rnacentral:lncRNA from 1 species